AUGGCCUUCUUCCUCCUCCUCCUGUGCAUCCUCAUUUCUGCGGCCAUCGUGUCCUACGCCCACCACGUAAUCCGGCGGCAGCGCCAGGGCUGCGCUCAUGGUCAUGGUCGCCAUGAGCAAGCCGCCCUCAAGCUGCCCCCUGGCUCCAUGGGCCUGCCUUACAUCGGCGAGACCCUCCAGCUCUACUCCCAGGACCCCAGCGUCUUCCUCUCCUCCAAGCAGAAGCGGUACGGCGAGAUCUUCAAGACGCACCUCCUCGGCUGCCCGUGCGUGAUGCUGGCGAGCCCGGAGGCGGCGCGGUUCGUGCUGGUGUCGCGGGCGCACCUCUUCAAGCCGACGUACCCGCGGAGCAAGGAGCGCCUCAUCGGCCCGUCGGCGCUCUUCUUCCACCAGGGCGACUACCACCUCCGCCUCCGCAGGCUCGUCCAGGGCCCGCUCGGCCCCGAGGCCCUGCGCAAGCUCGUGCCGGACAUCGAGGCCGCCGUGCGGGCCACCCUCGCGGCCUGGGCGGACGGCGACGCCGCCAGCACCUUCCACGCCAUGAAGAGGCUCUCGUUCGACGUCGGCAUCGUGACGAUCUUCGGCGGGCGGCUGGACGAGCGGCGGAAGGAGGAGCUCCGGCGGAACUACGCCGUCGUGGAGAAAGGCUACAACUCCUUCCCCAACAGCUUCCCCGGGACGCUAUACUACAAGGCGAUCCAGGCGAGGCGGCGGCUGAACGGCGUGCUGAGCGACAUCCUGCACGAGCGGCGGGAGCGUGGCGAGCCCGGCGACGACCUGCUCGGCUGCCUCAUGCGGUCGCGGGCCGGCGGCGACGACGACGGCGACGAGGGCGCGCUGCUCACGGACGAGCAGGUCGCCGACAACGUCAUCGGCGUGCUGUUCGCGGCGCAGGACACGACGGCCAGCGUGCUCACCUGGAUCGUCAAGUACCUCCACGACCGCCCGAAGCUGCUGGAGGCCGUCCGGGCGGAGCACGCGGCGAUCCACGAGGCCAACGACGGCGGGAGGCGGCCGUUGACAUGGGCGCAGACGAGGAGCAUGACGCUGACGCACAGGGUGAUUUUGGAGAGCCUGAGGAUGGCGAGCAUCAUCUCCUUCACGUUCCGGGAGGCCGUGGCCGACGUGGAGUACAAAGGGUUUCUUAUCCCCAAGGGGUGGAAGGUGAUGCCGCUCUUCAGGAACAUCCAUCACAGCCCGGACUACUUCCAGGAUCCACAGAAGUUCGACCCUUCGAGAUUCAAGGUGGCGCCGCGGCCGAGCACCUUCACGCCGUUCGGGAGCGGGGUGCACGCGUGCCCCGGGAACGAGCUGGCCAAGCUCGAGAUGCUGGUGCUCAUCCACCACCUGGUCACCGGCUACAGGUGGGAGGUUGUUGGAUCGAGCGACGACGUCGAGUACAGCCCAUUCCCUGUUCCCCGCCAUGGCCUGCUCGCCAGGUUACGGCGAGAUGACAGCGUCUGCGUGGGUAGGAAGGGGUGCCCGACUGAGGACAACUACGACGACGACGACGAAGUGAUAGUGUGA
rnacentral:rRNA from 1 species